AUCGCUUCUCGGCCUUUGGCUAAGAUUCAAGUGUAGUAUCUGUCUUAUCAGUUAAUAUUCUGAUACGUUCCCUAUCUGGGGACAUAUAUUAAAUGGAUUUUUGAACAGGGAGAUGGAAGAAGAGCUUGCUCUGUCCACUCCACGCAUCGACCGCCUGGUAUUGCAGUACCUCCAGACCGCUGUCGAUUCCUCU
rnacentral:snRNA from 1 species